rnacentral:rRNA from 1 species
CCUACGGGUGGCAGCAGUGAGGAAUAUUGGUCAAUGGGCGCGAGCCUGAACCAGCCAAGCAGCGUGAAGGAUGACUGCCCUACGGGUUGUAACCUUCUUUUAUCAAGGAAUAAAGUGAGGCACUUGUGCCUUUUUGUAUGUACUUUAUGAAUAAGGAUCGGCUAACUCCGUGCCAGCAGCCGCGGUAAUACGGAGGAUCCGAGCUUUAUCCGGAUUUAUUGGGUUUAAAGGGAGCGUAGAUGGGUUGUUAAGUCAGUUGUGAAAGUGUGCGGCUCAACCGUAAAAUUGCAAUUGAUACUGGCAGUCUUGAGUAGAGUUGAGGUAGGCGGAAUUCGUGGUGUAGCGGUGAAAUGCUUAGAUAUCACGAAGAACUCCGAUUGCGAAGGCAGCUUACUAAACUGCCACUGACAUUGAUGCUCGAAAGUGUGGGUAUCAAACAGGAUUAGAUACCCUGGUAGUC